rnacentral:lncRNA from 1 species
GACAUCAGACCGAGCCCGCGCACAAUGGACCAUGACCAGCCAGCACAUGCGCACCCAUAGGCCAAACAAGGAAAGACGCGGCCAGCCAAGCCACAAGCUUUGUCAAGGGCCAAGCGGCAGGCAUCCGCAUGCGGAAACAAACAAGAAAAAGCCCCCAAAUGCAGCGCUCGGCCAAAGACAGCAAGCCGAGCCACAUGGUAGAAAUCCAAGCACAAGCAAGGGGCCAAAGAAGGCAGGAGCGCAUGCAGAAUCAAAGGAGUCUGCGGACUCUUCCAUAGCGAUUCGACGAGCAAGAGCAUGGGCAGCCAAGAUGCAGCAGGCCGCUGGAUGAAGGACCACAAGAAGGACAAGUCACCAAUCCGCGAGAGGGGCUACUGGAUCCGUGUCCCAGCCAAACAGAAGACGCGUCCCAGCCAGCCCGAGAGCAGCACAAGGCCAGCCAAGAAGAUCCCAAAUUAGGCAAACCGCGGACAAGUGGCAGCACUCACACGGAACACGCACCCCGGCCAACCGAACAACGCAUCCCGGGCGUCCAAAUACCCAGCAAAUCCAACACAUGGCCGCAGGAUUUCAAACUUACAAUGGAUCUCCUUACGGCUGAAUUAGAAUGCUUUUGAAUUUUGAAAUGUUUCUGCCAAUAAGCCAUGGGCAUUAGGCCUAUAUAACGGAGCCACUAGGGCCCUUCCAAUCAUCUAUUUUUUGCAUUGUAAAGGGUUUUCCCUUAGGUCCUUUAAGGAUUUUUCGGCCGCAAGGCUUGGGCUAGGGUGGGGUACAUCAACUCCCCUUAGAUUGUAGUAGGCUAGCAUGAUCCCUUCCCGAUCUUGCUAGAGUUCUUUUCUUUCGUUCUCUAUUGGAAUAGAAUCACUUUUCUAUCUUCCCCACAUCUUGAUUCUUCUCCUCAGCCAAGCACCAUCAUUAGAGUAGCAUAGGCGAGGUUACAAAGACAGCAAGAAGAUAGCGCGUUACGCACAUCAAAAACGGUCCCGCCAACCAUAACACAACUCCCUCGAAAGAUCCUUGGCGCGGGAUUUGGGACCGCAACACCCUGCGGGCCAACACUGGUGCUUUCAUUGAGAUAGAUCGUCGGACAAUCGACUAGGUUCAAGUCCACGGAAGGACGAUCUCGAGAGGUAACGCACUUAUCUUUCAUAUCUAUAUUCUCUUUGCAUAUUCAUAUGAGAUCUGAAGUUUAAAAUCAGAUCUGAAUUUUUCUUGUAUUUAUUUGAGAGAUUUGAUUGUAUUGGGGUAUUCAUAGUCUUGAUGUAUUGUGAGUCUUUCUUUGUAAGGGGAAAGAGUUCCCUUGAUCCUAUUUGUUCAAAACUAGGGAUGGCGCAUCGGGAAGGCUACUGGUAGUACCUAGUGCUAUUUGACCCAACUGAUCUGUUGUAGGAUAUAUUAGGGGCCGCAUAAAGGGAGGCUACUGGUAGUACCUUGUGCGCCUUUCCCAACUACAGCAUUUCAGAAAACAAAUAGACCAUCAAGACCUCUUUUGGGUUGAGAGAAUUUUAUCUUGUAUACACUUCUUGUACAACCCAUAAGUGUGUAUUGAUGAAGAAGUGAGGGGCUCGGGUCUCCAAGAGAGA